rnacentral:lncRNA from 1 species
CGACGAUCCGUCGUCAUACUUCUCUCUGCUUGCUCGGUCAGGGAGUGAGCACUGACGGUCUCUCCGAUCCACCUCUGAGACCAAUGUCUCUGAAGCCAAGGACAGCACAACUCACUACAGCCCACUCUUUUGAUUCUGAGUGCUUACUAGAGGACAGCAGUUCAGACAGCCAGUCUACAAAUAGCCUGAAUUCAGCAUCCCUGAUCAACAAACCAGAGGUGCGUGCUAGACUUUCCUUCACUUCUCCAGAGCAGUUCCCCUCUGUUCCUCUCAAAGACCACUUUUUUUCCCAGAGCACACCUGUUGGACUGGACUUUUUAGGCUGGCCUCACCGAGCGUCAUUUUCAGAAUCUAAUCUCAGCACACCAGCACAAGAGGCACAGGUCGCCCCUCUGGGUGAGUUUACUCCUUCUGAAUCACAAUACGCGCUGGACAAUGUCGGAGUGAAAUAUUGAAGGGACGUUCACACCUGCUUGUUUGGCCUGUUUGCAUUUGUGACAGCUAAUAGUCCAAUUGGCUUUUUAAGUGUGUGUGUGAUUUUAAACUAGGGGUUUUGAUGUCAUAUUUUAAUCUUCAAAUAUGAAGAUCCCUUGAAAGAGAGCCUCUUUCUAUAAAUACAGCUAUGUAUUUACUUCUCUUAUAAAUACUCUAUAUUUAUAAGAGACAAAUAGUUACCAUGCAUGUUAUUAUUGUUGUUGUCGAUAUUUAUAAUGUUUUUGUCAGUAUUUUCUCUCUAUAUAUAUAUAUUAAAAAUGUUUAAAUAAUAAUAAUAAAUAUAAUCAUGAAAAUACUUAAUAAUAGUAAAAUUUUACUGCUACUACUAUGAAUAACAAUAAUAAUUGUAAUAAUAAUAAUAAUAAUU